rnacentral:rRNA from 1 species
AUGAGAAGUGAUGUGUGUGCGAGUUCAAAUUCUACGUACUCAGUCAUGUGGGCAUGCGGGUGCCGCGGCUGCGUGUACUACCUGCUCCAAUAGUGUCUAUGGUGGAUGCUGCAGUUAAAAUGUCCGUNNUCUGUUGUGUAUGUCUUUGUGUGUGAUGUUUGUGGUUGUGUGUGGAUGUAGUGAUGUGUGUGGCAGAGGACGAGGGGCACUGGAUNCUUGGGCGAGAGGUGAAAUGCGAAGACCCUGACUGGACGAGCGGAAGCGAAGGCUGUGCUCUUGGACUAAUGUUGCGAUGAAGGACGAAGGCUAGAGGAUCGAAAUCGAUUAGAUACCGUUUUAGUUCUAGCAGUAAACGAUGCCGACUGGACGGGACAGUGUGUGUUGUCCAUGAGAAAUCUUGAGUAUGCGGGUUCUGGGGAUAGUAUGCUCGCAAGAGUGAAACUUGAAGAGAUUGACGGAAGGACACCACAAGGAGUGGAGUGUGCGGCUUAAUUUGACUCAACGCGGGGCAACUUACCGGCUCUGAAGGAUGCCUGUGAGUGCAUGGCA